AUAUGCACGGCAGUACAUAUACUAAAAUUGGAACAAUACAGAGAAGAUUAGCAUGUCCCCUGCGAAAAGAUGCAUACAAGACACUUUACUCUGAAAA
rnacentral:snRNA from 1 species